rnacentral:piRNA from 1 species
GGAUAAAGUGUGAACUCCUCAGUGG